rnacentral:rRNA from 1 species
GUUAGGAAUUUUGCGCAAUGGGGGAAACCCUGACGCAGCAACGCCGCGUGGAGGAUGAAGGCCUUCGGGUUGUAAACUCCUUUUAGCAGGGAAGAAAAAAAUGACGGUAUCUGCAGAAAAAGCACCGGCUAACUCUGUGCCAGCAGCCGCGGUAAUACAGAGGGUGCAAGCGUUAUUCGGAAUCACUGGGCGUAAAGAGCUCGUAGGCGGUUAAUUAAGUCAUAUGUGAAAGCCCUGGGCUCAAUCCAGGAAGUGCAUCUGAUACUGAUUGACUGGAGUGCAGGAGAGGAAAGCGGAAUUCCAGGUGUAGAGGUGAAAUUCGUAGAUAUCUGGAGGAACAACAGAAGCGAAGGCGGCUUUCUGGACUGUCACUGACGCUGAGGAGCGAAAGCGUGGGGAGCAAACAGGAUUAGAUACCCGGGUAGUCC